GUGGAAGCAUGGGCACCCUUGUUUCUUCUGAGCAAAUCUCCAAAAGGGAGAUGUGACACUUCUUAGAAGUAUGGUGAAACGAAGUUUGAGGAAUCAAAGUCUGAAGGAUCCAGAGGCUAUCCCAAGCUUGAAAGCAAAGUGAUAUCCUUAGGUUGGCCUUGGCUGUUUAAAGGACCUCUGGAUGGGGGAUGACUGGCUCUGCUCUGCACAGGACAGUUCCUUCUCAGGCUCAGCUGGAAUCUCUGGGAACAGUGGA